GACGAACGCUGGCGGCGUGCCUAAUACAUGCAAGUCGAACGCACAGUUUAUACCGGAGCUUGCUACACCAUAGACAGUGAGUUGCGAACGGGUGAGUCACCCGUAGGUAACCUUCCUGGUAGCGGGGGAUAACUAUUGGAAACGAUAGCUAAUACCGCAUCAUAUUAAUUAUUCCAUGAUACUUAAUUGAAAGGUGCAAUUGCUCCGCUACCAGAUGGACCUGCGUUGUAUUAGCUAGUAGGGGAGGUAACGGGUCAACUAGGCGAAGGUACAUAGCCGACCUGGAGAGGAGGACGGCCACACCGGGAACGGGGCAACGGUCAGGACUCUUAGGGAGGGAGCAGUAGGGGAACAUCGGAAAAGGAGGGAAGGCUGGACGAAGAACGCCGGGGGAGGGAAGGAGGUUUUCGGGUCGUAAAGCUCUGUUGUAUGGGAAGAAAGGGUAUGAGGGUAGAAAGUUCACGCUGUGACGGUAUCUAACGAGAAAGCAACGGCUAACUACGUG
rnacentral:rRNA from 1 species